AUGGAAGCAAACGGGGAAUAGCCCCUUAUAAAACCAUCAGAUCUUGUGAGAACUCACUAUCAUGAGAACAGCAUAGGGGAAACCACCCCUAUGAUCUAAUCAUUGCCCAUCAGGUCUCUUUCUCAACACCCAGGGAUUACAUGGAUUACAAUUUGAGAUGAGAUUUGGGCAGAGACACAGAGCCUAACCAUAUCAAAGAUGUACAUCUAACCACAGUAAAGACAAUAUACAAGCCCAUAGUGAAUAUUAUAAUCAACACCGAGAAGUUCAAGGCUUUUUUCCUAAGAUCCGAUACAAGACAUGGAUGGUCACUCUCACCACUUUUGUUCAACACAGUACUGAAAGUACUAACCAGAGCAGUUAAGAAAGCCAAAAUGAAAAGGAUUCAAAUUGGAAAGGGCUAAGUAAAAUUGUCUUUCCUUGUAGAGGACGUAACCUUAUAUAUAGAAAAGCUUAGAGGCUCCACCAAAAACCUGUUAGAAUUGAUUAACAAAUUCUAUAAAGUGGUAGAUUACAAAUCAACAUAUAAAAGUUAGUAGCAUUUCUAUAGAGUUACAACAAAUUACCUCAAAAGGAAAUUAAGAACACAGUUCUAUUUACAGUAGCUAUAAAAAUAAUAACUAGGUGUAAAUUACCCAAAGAGAAUACUCUAUAAACUGAAAAUUAUAAACCAUUUAUGAAUGAAUUUUAGGGAGAUAAAAUAAGUGGAAAGAAUCUCAUGUUUGUGAAUUCAAAGGAGUAGCAUUGUUAAAGUGUCACUACUGCCCAAAGUUAUCUAUGGAUUUUAUGCAAUCCCCAUCAAAAACUACAAUGAAAUUUUCCCCAGAAAAGAAAAAAAAAAUUCUAAAAUUCGUAUGGAACCACAAAUAUCUCAAAAUAGUGAAAAUAAUCUUGAGUAAAAAGGACAAGCUGGAGGCCUCACAGCACCUGAUUUGAAAAUCUACUAUAAAGCUAUGUUAAUCCAAAUAGCAUGGUACAGUUAUAAAAACAGACACACAGACUUAAGGGACAGAAUGGAAAAGCUGGAAAAAAUCCACACAUUUGUGGUCAAUUGAUUGUUUAUAAAAAUGCCAACAGCACACAAUGGGGGAAGGGCAGUCUCUUCAGUAACUGGUUGUUGGGAAACUGGGUAUUCAGAUGCAGAAAAUAAUAUGCUCUCCUCUGACAUCAUAUGUAAAAAUAAUCUCAAAAUAGAUUAAAUACUUAAAUGUAAGACCUAAAACUGUAAAAGUAAUAAAGAAGUCAUAGGAGAAAAGCUCUCUGUCAUUGGUAUGAUCACAGAUCCUUUGGAUAUAACACCCAAAGCACAGACAACCAAAGUAUAAACAACUAGGAUGACAUCAAACUAAAAAGCUUCUGCACAGCAAAGGAAACAGAAUGAAGUAUAGGAGAAAAAUAUGUGAAACCAUAUGUCUGAUAAGGGUUAAUAUCCAGAAUAUAUGAGGAACUUAUAAGUAAGAAAACAAAUAAUCUGAUAGAUUAUUUGUUAGAUGUGCAAAGGACCUAUACAAACAUUUCUGAAAACGACAUAUUAUUGGCAAACAGGUUUAUGAAGAAAAGAUGAUUACUAAUUAGCAGGAAAAUGCAAAUUAUAACCCUAAUGAGAUAUUACCUUAUAGCUGUUAGAAUGGCUACUUUAAAAAAGACCAAAGAUAAGUAUUAGCAAGGUUGUUGAGAAAAGAGAACCUUGAAGACUAUUGGUUGGAUUGUAAAUUAGUAUUACAGCCAUAAUCAAAAAUAGUUUAGAGGUUCCUAAAAAAAUUAAAAGUAGAACUGUCAUGUCAUCCAGCAAUUUUACUAUUUAGUAUAUGUCCAAAGGAAUCAUAUUAGUAUGUCAAAAAGAUACUUUCACUUCCUUCACAGUAUCCUUGGAGUCUCACUUUUCCAGCCAGGAACCUCUGUGGCUGGUGGUGCUAUUGCCUGAAUUUUUCUUGGGCCCCCUUGGCUUGUUCUGCCCAUUCUGCCUGGCAGGAUACAAUCUGUUUAUGCUACCAGCCUGGAUUCAAUGCCUGCCAAGGGUGAGCCAGGUGUGGAGUGAGGGGUGUGUGAGUGAGUGAGUAUGGGGUCUGGCCCCUGGCACAGCCAGGCAUGCUGGUUGUGGUGGGGUGGAUAGCUCCAGGUGCCAGAGCAGGCACCAGCACCCUACAAUGCUGCAGCGCAACCAGGCAUACUGCAAGCAGCUUCUACCGUUGGCACCAGGGAAGGCAGUGGUGCCUGGAAGCUUGGAGACUUCAGAAACUAUAGAGCCCCAUUGAGGGAGAGUGUCACAGCUGUGACUUGAGGAGCUUUUAAGUCUGAGAUCCCCAAAGGAUUCCAGCUCUUCUCUCCUUGUCACCUGCAACAUGGUGAUUAAGGGGCGUUUUUCAGCCCUGUGGGUGUUAUUGCUCUUUCAGUCCUGCCAUUCGGCAGGUCCCAACUUGUUGUCCUGUGUGCAGGAAGAAUGAGUUAUGCGGACAAGUGGAGGGUGAACAAGGUGAAGAGAUCCUUUAUUGAGUAACACAGCAGCUUAAAGGAGACCCACAGUGGGUAGCUCCUCUCUGCAGGUAGGGCAUCCCAACAAGUGUUCAGUUCUCAGCAGAGAGGAGACCCAUAGCGGGUAGCUCCUCGUUACAGGCAGGUUGUCCUAUCAUCUGCUCAGCUCUCAGCAGAAAGAAGACCCACAGUGGGUAGCUUCUUUCUGCGGGAAGGUUGCCCUGUCAUCUGCCUGAGUCUGGCUGAGUCUAGGGAUUUAUUUGGGCUUCAGAGGGAAGCAAAUGCAUGCUGAUUGGUCCACGAGAAGCCAUGUGCAGGCCGAGAAAAAGCAUCAGAAGUUCUCCCUCCAUUCCAUGGUACUGGCAGUCCAGCCCCUAGGCCUCAGGCUAUCACUGACCUGAAGGUGAGGUUUAACCAGGUAUCUGCCCCUUUCUGUCCAGGAUCCUGUCUGCCUCCUGCUGCUGUUAACUUGCCAACCACAGUGCCCAUGUUGCUCAGGCUGUUCAUGCCUGCAGACUUGCACCAAGCCACCCUCAGCACCUGGUCAGCCUCCCUCCCAUGCUCAUUGGUACCCAAAGUCUGGAAGGGGCCAAGGCAGGAAGGGGCUGGUAUGUCAGAGCUCACCUGAGUGUGUGCAUACCUGGCUGGUUCAUGUCAGUGCCCAGGCUUGGCCACAGCUAUACUUUAAAAUUGGAGUAGGUGCCAGGAGUGGGUGCUUGGAGUAGGGAGAAGCUCGGCAGUGGGAGCAGGCACUUGCAAGCCUGUGGGUCAGGGGGCUUCCUGGGUCCCCAAGAGUGUAGAGAUGCCCUGGUCUGCAGCCAUGGCUGGACAACUACAACUGCAUCCCAGGGGUAGGGCUUCCACUUCUUUAACUUGGAAUGGGCGGGUGGUUUCUGCCUGUUCUUGGUUCCUGCUGGCUCUGUGGCGUGCACAGCCCCAGCUGUGCCUUUCUCACUGCAGCUGGCAUCACUGAUAAUGCCAGGGAUUGAUCAACACUGCUCCAGACUGGCUGCUGCUGCCAUUAAUCCCUGCUCUAAAGAGGUACAUCUACUGCUGUUAAGAUAGGGACAGCGACUGCUCUUAACUGCUUCAUGCUGACAGGGAAGUUGUUUAUGGGGAAAAUGACAAUUAUAUCUUAUCUUAGAGGCCUAUCUAAGGGUUCCUAGUAAAAGGGAGCUGUCAGCCAAGGUUCCAUUUGCAUGACUAUUUGGAGUUUAAUGGCCAGAAGGUGAGAUGAGACAAACCUGGUUAUUAGAAGACAUGGAUCAAAACGAAACAAAGGGGUAAGGACAGCUCGAAAAUCCUGAUAUGCUCAAAAUUAGAAUAUUGAUCCAGAUUUUUACAUUACCCAUCCCUUUUGUCUCUUCUGAGCCGAGAUCACUGGCUGGUUCACAGGAGCAAGCAGGGUUAGUCUAAAAUGCAGACCAAAACUUAAAAACAACUAAUGAGCAUUUGUCAAAGUUCUGUGGACGCAGAAAAUCUGAGACAGGUCUCAGUUAAUUUAGAAAAUUGAUUUUGCCAAGGUUGAGGACAUGUCUGUGACACAGCCUCAGGAAGUCCCCGCAACAUGUGCCCAAGGUGGUCAGGGCACAGCUUGGUUUUAUACAUUUUAGGGAGACGUGAGACAUCAACCAAUGUAUAUAAGAAGUACAUUAGUUCCAUCAGAAAAGCAGAGACAACUCAAAGCAAGCCUCCCCUCAUCCAUGGGCUUCCAGGUCACAGAUAGCUGAGAGACAAAUGGUUGUAUUCUUUUGAGUUUCUGUUAAGUCUUUCCAAAGGAGGCAAUCAGAGUAUGCAUCUAUCUCUGUGAGCAGAGAGAUGACUUGGAAUAGAAUGGGAGGCAGAUUUGCCCUGAGUGUUUCCCAGCUUCAAGAUACCCAAUAUAUUUUCCUUUCACAGUUCUAUAGCUGAUUAUAAAUCAUUCUUUGAAGAGUGUCAAAUGAAGGCAGCACUUGUCUGUGAGUGACAAAAUGUGUUAGGGUCAUCACAGUCAAAAACACGAUUGACAAAGAAAUGUGGUUAUUUCUGUGGUUUAACAUCAUAGCCCUAAUUAUGAUUGAUAGCAAAUACUCAGACAUUUGAUUUUUAGAAGUCUCCUACAAUUUUGGAACAUAAUAUUAUUCACUAAAAUAUAAUUUGAAGAAGAUUAAGCCUUCUUUUUUACUUUGACAGUCCCAUGUAAUUGAACAUGUCAAAUAAUCCUGUUUACGUCUAUUUUGGUUGUUCUAGGAGCACUCUGUAGUAUCCCAAAGUUGGGGUCAGAAAAGACAAUUUUGAAGCUGAAAUUUGAUUUUGUGAAGGCUAUCAAAUACGUUAAAGGUUUAAAACAGUUGAUAUUAUGAAAUAGCAGAUCAGUGCCUUAAGAAACUCUUAUUGUGCUUUUUAUUCUAAUGUUCAGUUUAUAAACAAACCAAGUAAUACCCAUGGAGUUUAGUCAGUGUGUUCACAAACAAAAUUUCUUUUACAAGAUUAAUUUUACAAACCUUCCACACCUUAUUUAAACCUUUAGCUUCAUCUUACCUAAUUUGAAACAAUCCUUUAACCUUCUAGUCUAGGUAAAAAGUUAUACCCCCAAGCCUUCUUAUGUUUUACUAAUGACACAUUUUACUUUCCUUACAUACCUUGCAUGUAAAUCUAUUUUAGUAGUCUCAAUUACAUGUUAUAAUGGUAACUCUUAGCAGAUUUAAAUUUUGGUGUAAAACUGGUAAGUUAUUUUUCUUAUGUACUAGGUUUAGAUAAGGUCUGACUCUUUCCAGCAUAGUUAGGGGUAUGGUUAACUCCAUAUGUCCCCAGGCCUCAGGCUGUUCCUGGCCUGAAGGUGGGGUUUCACCUGGGAACCUGCCGGUUUCUGCCUAGGAGCCUGUCUGCCUCUUGUUGCCAUUAACCUGUUGUCCAUGGUGCCCACAGUGCCUAGGCUAUGUGUUUGAUGGGUGCCUGCAGGCCCAUGCCACAUUGCCCUUAGCCCUCCUUUGGCCUCCCUCCCAUGCUUGUUGUUGUCCAAAGUGUGGAGGGGGCUGGGGCAGCAGGGGGCUGGUGUGUCAGCACUGCGCCAAGAGAGCACACACCCAGCCAUGUUGUGACAGUGCUCAGGCUGGACCACAACUUUGCCCCAAAAUUGGAGGGGUUGCCAGGAGUGGGGAGAGGACAGACAGCAGGAGCAGACUUCCAAGACUGCAGGGGUUCUUCCCAGGCCCCUGAGACUGCACAGAUGCCUGUGUCUGCAGCUGUGUCUGGGUGGCUGCAGCUAUACCCAGGAGGGCAGGGCUCCUGUCCCUUCAGCUUGGAACAGGGCAGGUCUACCACCUGUUUCUGGCUCCUGCUGGCUUUGUGGAGUCUACAGCUCCAGCCAUACCUCCCACACUGCAGCUGGCAUCAUGGCAGUGGCUGCUCCAUACACCCCACUGCUGCCAUCGCUUCCAUGCUAGUGAACAUUAUUUCCGAUAGCCAAGAUGUGGAAUUAAUCUAAGUGUUUAUUAAUGGAUGAAUAGAUGAAGAAAACAUGUUAUAUAUAAAUAAUGAAAUAUCAUUCAGCCUUAAAUAAAUCCUGUCAUUCUCAACAUCAUGGAUCAACCUGCAGGACAUUAUGUUAAGUGAAAUAAGUCAGGCAGAGAAAGACAAAUACUCAAUACUUCCUUAUAUGUGUAGUGUAAAAAUGUUGACCUUGUAGAAACAGAGUGAAAUGUUGAUUAUCAGAGGCUAGGGUGUAGGAGGAAUUAGGGAAAUGUUGGCCAAAAGACAGAAAAAUUUAUUUAAAGUGGAGAAAUAAGUUGAAAGACUAUUGUAAGUCAUGGUGACUACAGUUAAUAACAAUAUGUUGUAUAUUUGAAAAUGGCUAAGACAAUAGAUUUUAAGUGUUCUUACCAGAAGAAAUGAUAAGUAUGUGAGGUAAUGCAUAUGUUAAAUAGCUUGACUUAGCCAUUAUACAGAUAUCAAAGCAUCAUGUUGCAUAUUAUAAAUAUAUAUAAUUUUAAUCUGUCAGUUUAGAGACUCUGAGAAAGACAUUAAUCAAUUUUUCCAUGGUUAUAUAUUUAGUGCACCCAGUGGUCUUCAGAUAUGUGUUCUUAACCAGAAGAUGCAGUUGCUUUUUCUUCCAUUUCCAUCCCUAAAAGCUGAAAAGCAAAAUAAAGAAGUGGAAAGAAAUUCAGGAGCCAUUUGACUCAACCUUGCAGUUCAUGCAGCCUUUAAACACUGGGAUAGCUUGGAAGGGAAGGCUGUUAGUACUAUUUUUUAUAUAUUGUGCAUAAGAGGCUUUUGAGUCAUGGAUGUUUGAUAAUUUAUUUAUUUUCAGUAGUAACAUAUCCUUGGCUAAUUUCUUUACUUCCAGCAAUAACAUAUCCUAAGCAAAUUUUAUGCAUUUUUUUCAUACGUGAAAGAAACUUUUUAUUAACAUGGUAUUAAUGGAGCAUAAUCUGGUAAGAGUGUUCAUUACUACUGUUGUAUUACUGUUUUCAAGCUUUUUCCAUGGACAGAGUAGGAAAUACACAUUUUUGGAGAGAAAAACAUAAAUCCCAAAUUUAUCCACAUUCCAAUUUAAGAUAAAGAUUUGAUGGAUUUUUAUUGAGCACUUUGGUCUUACUCUUUUUGUAUAUCUUCUUUUUUUAUUGUUCUUUUACCUCUAUACUCUGAUUUUACAUUUUGUUUUUGUUUUUGUUUUUUGUUUUUGCUAGAUGCAGGCCUAGGUAUUUUAUUUUAUUUUUCAUUACAGUCAUAGAGUCUUCUCAAUUCUUUUAACUAAUAGGGUUUUUUGGGUGGUGGGAGGAGAAAACAUUAAGUUGUCUGUUUCUUAUUUAUUUUACAUAUUGCUUAUAAUUCUCUUGUGAAUUAUUAUAGGGCUUUUAUUGUUUGUUUUUGUCUUCCUGAUAUAAAAAUUAUAUUCCCUGCAAAUAAAAAUCGCUUUACUUCUUUUCCUUCCAUUUUUGGCCUCUAAUGUUUUCUCUUCUCUAAUUGUGUUGUUCAAUACCACCAAAAUAUAUUAAAUAGUAGAAGAGAUAGUGGACAUCCUUGUCUUAUUCCUUAUUUUAAUGAGAAAGUAUCUAACACUUCCAAUUAAAUAAGUUGCUGGCUAGUUGGGCAAGUACACCUCACAUGUAUGUACAUUCAGGCUAACAAAAUCUCUCUUAAUUUCUAUGUAAACUUUAAAAUUUUUGUUUUGGUAAUCCUGAAUGAUGUUGAAUUAUAUCACUUGAGUUUUCAGUGGGUAUGAAGAUGAAUAUAUAAUCUUUCUUCUGUUAAUAUAAUGGAUUUUAUUAAUGCAUUUUUAAAUAUUAAAAAUCCUUGAAUUUCUUAAAUAUACCCCACUUUUUAAUUUUUUUUAGUGUUUUGGAUUCUUUUGCAUAUUAUCUCACUUAACAUUUUUGCAUCGUAAUCUUCAGUGUGUUUGAUUUGUACAGUUUUCUGUGCAGUUUUGUGAAGUUUUGUUACCAAUGUUACAUACCUGUUUUAUAAAAAUAAUCUGGAAAUAUUCUUCCUUUUUAAAAUCUGGUCCUUAUUUUUAUUCUGUUCAGGCACUGUUUUAACAGAUGUUCAGGUACCUUCCAUGUGCUAUUAAAUACAAUAAAAUUGCAAUGGUAGUUAAUAGAUCUGUAGCACUUACUAUGUAUUUGUCAGUAUUCCGAGUACAGUUGAUUCUCACUACUUGAAGUAGAUUUGUUUUGUCAAGUUGCAGUGAAUAUUCUUAAUGGAAUUAUAAUGUUAGGUUCCUGUAAGCCUCUGUCCCAACAAUUUUUGUCCACCUAUCAAUACAUAACUUUUAAAAAAUCUGUGUUUCUGUUUAAAGAUAUCUUGUUUAACACAUAUAUAUUGUAGAUUCAUUGAUAUUGAACUCAUGUCCCACAGCAGUAUGACUCAUGCCUGAAGGAAGCUUUUGUAACACAUACAUUUUCUCCUUAAGGCAUAUCACAGACCUCUUGUGCUUAGGAACCCUAGAUAGCACUUCAGCACGAAGUUGGGCAUUCUGAAUAGCCAAAUCAACAACAAAAAGCACAAAAAUGAGAACAUUGUUCCAUUUAAUAGACUGUGAAAAGAAUAUUCCUUUACAGUAUGAGAACAGAAACAAAGCAGAGCAUUACUUUGUUCAAUUUCAGCUGACAAGGAUGCAAAUCAGCUGACUCAAAAUUUUCCCCCUCUGCACAUAUCCACAAAUUACUGCCAAAGUGCUACAAAUAUUGAUGUUGGGGUUACAUGUAAAUUUUAUUGAGUAGGUAAAUUGACAGAUAUGGAAUCUGUGAAUGAGGAUUAAUUGUAUUUCUAAGUAUUUAACAUGUAUUCAUUUAUUGGUCACAGCAAUCCGAUGAGGUAGGUAUUAUAAUAACACAUACUAUACAACAAAGAGGUUAAGUUCCUUGCACAGUGUUACACAAUCAAUGAGUGUUUGAGGACACCACUAAAGUAGUGUAAAUGAUGUCAAGACAUAUUUUUUGCCCUUAGGAGCCAUUUCCAUCUAAAAGGGUUAAAGGUGUUUUGCUGAAAUAACGAAAUUUAAGAUAGUUUGAGGUUAAGUAGCAUAGGGUAGUGCCACCAAGAUGUAAUGGAUAUUCAGAGGACAUAUCAUUGAGGAGAACAUAGAAGGGCUUUAUGUGAUGGUUUCUAAAUGGUGGCUUUUAGAGUCAGUAAGAUUUCAUUAAGCUGGCUUAUGAGGAUAGAAGAGAUGAACUAUUUGAGAAGGUACUCAUUUUUUACAUGGGAUACCUUCAAUGGUUCUAGUCUUUUUGGAAUAGCAAAGUGGUGGUGAAGGACAACCUCUUUAGUUUUCAGUUUUCAGGAUUCAUAUAUUUAAAACUGUAUGACCAUUUUUUCCAUUACUAUUUAAAAAUUUAUUCUGCUUUUGUAAUACUGGGAAUUAAAGCAAUAGCACCAUUAAUUGGAAGACUUAAAGAUGAACAAGACAGUGUUUCAACGUAAACACAUGAAUUUCUUAUUAUGGAAGAAGAAAAGCCAGCAAUAAAUUGACAUUUGUGUAAUAGGACUGCAAAUAGUGGGUGUUUUAUCGGAGAGUGAAAAAUCCAAGUAAAUAUUAAAAAUUGUUGAAAUACAAAGAUUUUCCCCUAUAUACAAUAUUUUUGUAAUAUACUUACAUGUUUUUGAGUGCAUCUCAUUAACCAUACCUCUUAACUGCGUUGUAAAAACCAAAAAAUUGAGGGACUAUUUUAAAUCAAAUAUUCUAAUUUUAAUAUGCAAGAUAGUGAUUUUCAUUUUAUAUCUGGUGCCCAUGAAAUUGGGCUGAUUUAUUAUAGGUGGUAGAUGUAUAAACCUACCUGUGUAUGAUCUUGUUGAGGGCAAGAUUGUGGCUUUUCAUUUUUUGCAUUUCUAAUAUACAGCAAAGUUUCUUUCACAGAGAAAGCUCUCAGGAAAUGUUAUGGCCUAACUAAAUGAAUACGCCAAAACCCUUUGUGACUGAUAAUUCCUAUGUAAAUAUUGUAGAUUGUGUUGAUCAGUGUUCUUGCAUUCUAUGUAUUGUUUCAUUUAGUUUAUUUUCAGUGCAACACUGUGAGAGUGAUUAAAGCACAAAAAAUCUGUCCCUAUGUUUAGCUUUAUAAUCAGAAAACACCAUACUAAUUCAUAAUUUUUUUUCUCACCAUUGCCUGUUUUUCUUUUUAUUGUUCUUUUUUUUUUUAUUGUCAGAAAAUAUUAGGUAAUUUUCCAGCAUACCUUUCUCGAGAGUAUGUUUCCUCAUUACCACAGUGAUGUGAAAUUAGAAGAUAAACUAUUCUGUUUCAGCACCAGUGUCUUGACACCUAUAACUUGAAAUGUAAAUAUGAAUUUCAUUUCUUCAUGGUAAAGGAUUCAAUUUUUCAUCAGUUACUUUGAUCAUCAUAAAAUCUGAAGUUAGGAAAGAACUUUACUUGUUAUUAAGUCCUAUUCCAUUUUAACGCCUGCAGUAGUAAGUGUUUAUUUAUGAUAAAACUCUGAUUAGGUAGUAGGAAAAAUUCAAGGUCAAAAGUACAAAUUUCUACCAAACUGAAGAAAUAAUAUUUUAAUAUGACUUGCAAGCUUCUUGAAUUCAUAUAUACUAAGGAGGGGGGUAGAAGAUGAUAGUUUUAAGAAUUACACAGAGUUCAAUAAAAAGCCAAUUAAAAAGUCAUGUCUGUGCCAAGAAUUAUUGAACAUUUUGAAAUAAAAACAUUUCAAUAUUUGCUCUUGGUCAACUUCCCCUCUUCUCCCACCAGAAAAUGUUUUUGGAUCCAGUGUUCAAUUUUGGUUCUCUCCGUUAUACAUAUGAAGCUUACAAGGGUAAGAUGUGGGUCAUUGAGCCUGUAUUUUAUCAAACAAAAUCAAAAAAUAAUAUUCUUAAACAUCGUAUCACAUUUGGAGUCGUAGUGUCUAUGAAAUCCUCUUGGUAUGAAAUUUAUAUUUGGGUAAAAACUAAAACAGUAGGAUUUUGAAAUCUUUUAACUUUUAGAUUACAAAAGAAUAUGGGAAAUG